AGUCGUCACGCCUGGCGGGCACGAUAAAAAACCCAAUUGACAUUCGCCGGGCGCGCGCCUCGUAAACAUACACAUACCGACGUGCGCUUGCGUGUGUGCUGGUAGACUGAAAAUAGAGCUGUUAGCCAUCUCUGCAGCAGAUUGUGCCAACUAGAAAUUUAGGCUAAUUAGACACGAGGGAGAGCUGAAAAUGUAUUUGACUUGCGACUCUAUUUCGACUGGCCAAGAUUUUAAUUAGAGUGGACGGGAUUAUAAGCAGAUGUCAAUAGCUUGUGAAAACCUAGAUCGCUUCGUG